GGGGACGUUACGGAUUCGACAGGGGUAGUUCGAGCUUAAGUUGCGAGUCGAGGGGAUCGGCCUCGUUAAAACGUCACAGCCAAUAACUGGCGAAGAUAAUUACGCUUUAGCUGCCUAAUUAAAUAGCGCAGCUGUUCGCCCCUCCAUCGCCCAUGUGGUAGGGUAGCGGACUCAAACUUAGUGGGCUACGCCGGAGGCCACCGUCUGAGGUCGAAGGAAGAGAACAAUCAGACUAGCUACUUGGACGCCUGUCGAUAGGCAGAAAAGUUAGUGAAAUGCUAAUAUAUCGACUACACUCGUAGAAGCUUAAGUGCCGAUAUCUUUGGACGUGGGUUCGACUCCCACCGUCUCCACCA
rnacentral:tmRNA from 1 species